GCAGAUGCUCCAAUCUCUGAUAUAAAAUGGUGUCAUAUUUGUAUAUAACCAAUGCACACCCUCCCACAAUCUCCAGAUUACUUAUAUUUAAUACAGUGUAAAUGCUAUGUAAAUAGCUGCUAUACCGUAUUGUUUAGGGAAUAAUGACGAGGCAAAAAGUCUAUACUUGUUCAGUAUAGACACAACCAUCCUUUUCUUUCCUUGAAUAUUUUCUAUCCACAAUUGGUUGAAUCCACAGAUGUGGAGGAAUGACUGUAUAUGGUUUUGUAGUUAUAACCGACAAUUCAAAUGUGUAAUAAAACGUAUGAUACGUGUGUUUUCUGUUUUUAAAAGCAAAUACACAAUUCUUAUAAAUUAAGUGUGUAAUCAGUGUGACUGCACUUAGUGCCAAAGUACUUGUGGAAGGCACUGGGGCGCAGUGGAAACAACACUGGCUUUGGCAUUAAUCCUGGCCUCUAUCACUUACCAGCUGUAAGAUGCUGGGCUAGUUCUACUUACCCUCUCUGUUUGCUCAUCUGUAAAAUGGGAUUAAGUCCUAAUUUGUAGGGUCAGCUGUGAGAAAUAAAUGUGACAAAGCACCUAGUCCAGUGCUAGGCACAUAGAUGUUGCUGAACACAUGGUAUUCAUCAUUAACACGACAGGAACAAUAGGAAACAAUAAAUGGUCACUGCAUUUUACACAAACGUGAGUCUCUCAUAUAUGAUGAAUCUAAACUGACUUGUUAGAAAUCUUAAUCUCUCCCCUCAACCCCAUGAAGUCAUUCCCUAAGUUCCCAAAAUAAUCUCUGCCUUUUUCUAUUUCAUGCUUUCGCUAAAGGUGAUUCCUUGCUUAAAACCCACUUUCUUCUCAUGUUUUUCCAAUGACUAGCUGAGACUAAAGGCUCAAUUUAAGUCCAACCUCCUCUAGGCUUUCUCCUCUCGUAAUUCACUUCUCCUCUCCCAUCUCCUCCUAGUACACUGUGCCUUGGUUACAGUAGUUGUGUCUUCUGCACAAUUUAUUUUCCUGUAUCUUCCAUCCCUUCUACAAGAGGCAGGUGCCAGGUCUGAUUCCUGUCUGGAUCCCUCACAGUGCAGCACAGGGCCUGGCUUCAGGCAUGGACUCAGUGGGCCAUGUGGUAGAGAACUCAGAUUUGCUAGGUGUCCCCAUGGCAAUGCAGCCGGCAGGCAGUCCAAUGAGACACUGCUUGAAAUUACUGCUGCCUACAGAGAAAGGCCCAUCUGUCCACCUGACCUCCAGAAUGGUUCCAAUCUUAACCGCGUUAAGAGUAAAAGACUGCAUUCUUUAGGGAUUAUAAUGAGAUGCCCCCAGUUAAUGGAAAUAAUGUGACUCUCCCGAGAGCCAAAAUGGUACACAAAAUAAAUGAGAUUAGCCAUCACUAGAAGUGACUUUACAGGAUAGGUUGUCUUCCUAGUUAAAGCAAGAAACACAGGGCCUGAAAAGCUAAUUAAGCUCUAAUUGAAGCUGCCCACAGAACUGAGUGAUGAUACCACCCAUGCUGCAUAAAGCUGCCCACAGGAUUAAGUCACAUUAGAGAUACAAAGCACUUAGCUCAAGGGAUCCAGGCUGCAGGCACUCAAUCUAUUAUCUAAGCCCCUUGGCUGUUCUGUUCUAAGUCUACAUUGAAGACUAGUUUAUCCACUGUCCUCUCUGAGUUUGGUACACUUGAGUCCUUCUUUGAGGCCCAGGCAGUUUGAGGGGCCACCCCUAAAGCUGAUGUCUGAACUCUAGGCCAUGGCGCCUGCCCCUAGGUAUGAUGCCUUGUGGAACUGGGAACUUUCCUCUGCUACUUUCAUCUCCACUUUAAUUGCUAGAGGGUGAUAAGAAUCCCAAGCCCUAGAGAUGUUAUAUUUAUAGUCAGUAAUGCCACUGGUUCCUUCAAAUUUUUGCUUUGGCAGAGAACAGCUCUUGGUUCAGAGUUCCCUUUGACUGUGAUCUGCUGCCAUUUCCCAAAUUCUGGCAUUCAUGACCCCUUAUGCCCUGAAAAGUCGGUCAACCCAGACUUUCAAUCAGCUGCUCCCAAGCUGUACUUUUAGCACCUGGCACAGUAUUCCUACACAAAGAAGAGAUCAGUAAAUGUUCAUCCAAUGAAUGAAAACUCCAACCAUUUUUCUUCA
rnacentral:lncRNA from 10 species